ensembl:ncRNA T10E9.12 ncRNA
UCGGCAAAUUGCUAAACGUUCGGUUGCCGCACAGCACUGCGUGGAAUCCCUGCCGUAGUAGUCCCACAUAUGAUCAGCAAACUCACUGAACGAUCCUCGGAUGACGAACCGCAAACGAUUGUUGUUGGAAACUUGACGAGAGGCUUUGCCAAAGUUUGCUUCAAA